UACCAGCACCCCGAGUGGUCGGGACGAUUAUUGGGCCUAAAGCAUCCGUAGCCGGUCCUACAAGUCUUCCGUUAAAUCCACCUGCUUAACAGAUGGGCUGCGGAAGAUACUAUAGGGCUAGGAGGCGGGAGAGGCAAGCGGUACUCAGUGGGUAGGGGUAAAAUCCUCUGAUCCAUUGAAGACCACCAGUGGCGAAGGCGGCUUGCCAGAACGCGCUCGACGGUGAGGGAUGAAAGCUGGGGGGAGCAAACCGGG
rnacentral:rRNA from 1 species